AGUGAGGAAUAUUGCACAAUGGAGGAAACUCUGAUGCAGCAACGCCGCGUGGAGGAUGACGCAUUUCGGUGUGUAAACUCCUUUUAUAUGUCAAGAAAAUGACGGUAGCAUAUGAAUAAGCACCGGCUAACUCCGUGCCAGCAGCCGCGGUAAUACGGAGGGUGCAAGCGUUACUCGGAAUCACUGGGCGUAAAGGACACGUAGGCGGGAAGCCAAGUCUGAUGUGAAAUCCUACAGCUUAACUGUAGAACUGCAUUGGAAACUGGUUACCUAGAGUAUGGGAGGGGGAGAUGGAAUUAGUGGUGUAGGGGUAAAAUCCGUAGAUAUCACUAGGAAUACCGAAAGCGAAGGCGAUCUCCUGGAACAAUACUGACGCUAAGGUGUGAAAGCGUGGGGAGCAAACGGGAUUAGAUACCCCGGUAGUCCACGCCCUAAACGAUGAACACUAGUCGUCGGAAUGCUAGUCAUUUCGGUGAUGCACUUAACAGAUUAAGUGUUCCGCCUGGGGAGUACGGUCGCAAGAUUAAAACUCAAAGGAAUAGACGGGGACCCGCACAAGUGGUGGAGCAUGUGGUUUAAUUCGAAGAUACGCGAAGAACCUUACCUAGCCUUGACAUUGAUUGAACGAACCAGAGAUGGAUCGGUGCCCUUCGGGGAGCAUGAAAACAGGUGCUGCACGGCUGUCGUCAGCUCGUGUCGUGAGAUGUUGGGUUAAGUCCCGCAACGAGCGCAACCCUCGUCCUUAGUUGCCAGCAGGUUAAGCUGGGCACUUUAAGGAGACUGCCUUCGCAAGGAGGAGGAAGGUGAGGACGACGUCAAGUCAUCAUGGCCCUUAUGGCUAGGGCUACACACGUGCUACAAUGGGGCGUACAGAGAGUUGCGAUACCGCGAGGUGGAGCCAAUCUCAUAAAGCGUCUCUCAGUUCGGAUUGAAGUCUGCAACUCGACUUCAUGAAGCUGGAAUCACUAGUAAUCGUAGAUCAGCAAUGCUACGGUGAAUACGU
rnacentral:rRNA from 1 species